rnacentral:tRNA from 1 species
AAAAUUUAGUUAAUUUAAAUAACAUUAGUUUGUCAAACUAAAAUAAUCAAGAGAUAAUUUUUUA